ACACCGUCGUACCCUAGAACUGAGAACCCAGAACUAAAGUCAUGUCCCAGUUGAGGCGAGGCGGGUUUAUUUGUAUGGCACAGUCCAACAAGACUAUUCCAAGUGCUGUACAUGAACCCGGCCAACGCUGAAUAAGACAUCAGGUCAAGACCUGGCUAAAAAUAUCCAGCCAGAUUUUUCUAAUGAUUUAUGGACUGAUGGAGUGCUUCCAGAUGGGCCAGAUGGCCGGAUCGGCACAGAGCAUGGAGCUUUGGGUGCCGGUGGGGUACUGAUAUCAGGUGGUACUAUAAAAGCUGAGCUAGUUGGACCUUUUCAGGCUAAGAGGUUAACUCAAAUCCGCCCCACUCCCAAACUUAAGAGUUUUCUUCAAGCAGUGGUUCAGGAAAAGCUCUCUCAAGAAAAGAACCUGCGUCACCCAAGAGUCCCGGGUCUUUUCCACCAAACCUGGUUCCAGUGGUUCUCUGGUCCUAGAGCUCACCAAACACCAGUUCUUUGGGUUUCCAAUGAGAAACUCGAGCCCCGGUCCCAAAGCAAGCAGCAAUAAAUCAGUUUGCAAAGGAAAAGAGGUGUUUCCACAUCAGGGGCGGGCUCACGGAGAACUGGAGCCAAUCAAAUCCUUGAGCACCGAGUUCAAAAACCCCAGGGUUUAGUUUUUAAAUCAUUAAAAGAAAUAAAACUAAAAAAAAAACUGUGGAAAAACACUACACAUAAAAAAGUCAGACGUGCAUCAGAGAAUCACACAAGCUGCUGUGCUCCUACAGUUCAUUUUAAAAUCCCCCGUCAGAGUUUAAGUAGGUCAAGGAGCGAUCAGCAGACCAGAAACGUAAAGCGUUCAUGAACACCGCUGGUUGGUAAUGGAUCCAGCUGGUGCUAUUAGAACAGCUGUUUGCAGGGGCACCAAAGUAAAUAAUAUUUGGCCCAAUAAGUUGUCUCCGUGCACUAUAAUCCUUCACAAAAAACGCUGAAUAAGAGAAAACAGGGGGAGGAUCGUGCAGUAACAGGAUGAGACCUUUAUAAAAGGGCGCUGCUGCAAUUCUCAGGAGCUAAACCGGGUCUGGCACCAGCUCUGGUACAGGACUGGAACCUCUUUGGUGGAAAAGUCCCAUCAGGUUUGCAAAAAACAACCAGCAAUAUUUUCAGGUGAAGCCAACUUUUAACUGAAGCCUCCGAUUCUCCAACAGAAGACCCCAAAAAGGUUACCAAAAUGCAGAAAGGUUAGCGGGAGACACAUGAAGCAGACCUACACAAAUUAGUCAUUUUUCACCCCAUUGAUUGAGAUCUCCAAGAGAAAUUGUGAAGUUUUAACACAAUGGAUGGUUUUGAAAAGCCUUAAUUUAAUUGGGAUUUUAUGUAAUGCAGCAACACAAAGAAGCUCCUCGUUGUGUAAAGGCGCUGAAUCUAAACGUUUGUCCCACUUUUCACAAUUUUAUUUUCAUAAGGAUUUAAAAAAAAAA